CAGACACCUACGGGUGGCAGCAGUCGAGAAUAAUUCACAAUGGACGAAAGUCUGAUGGUGCAACGCCGCGUGGAGGAUGAAGGUCUUCGGAUUGUAAACUCCUGUCAUUUGAGAGCAAGACCUGGCGGUGAAUAGCCGACAGGGUUGAUAGUAUCGAAAGAGGAAGGGACGGCUAACUUCGUGCCAGCAGCCGCGGUAAUACGAAGGUCCCGAGCGUUGUUCGGAAUCACUGGGCGUAAAGGGAGCGUAGGCGGCAAAGGUAAGUCAGGUGUGAAAUCCCGGGGCUCAACCCCGGAACUGCACCCGAUACUGCUUUGCUAGAGUAAUGGAGGGGUAGCUGGAAUUCUCGGUGUAGCAGUGAAAUGCGUGGAUAUCGAGAGGAACACUUGUGGCGAAGGCGAGCUACUGGACAUUGACUGACGCUGAGGCUCGAAGGCCAGGGUAGCGAAAGGGAUUAGAUACCCCUGUAGUCCUGGCAGUAAACGGUGUGCGCUUGGUGUGAGGGGUUUCGACCCCCCUUGUGCCGGAGCUAACGCGUUAAGCGCACCGCCUGGGGAGUACGGUCGCAAGACUAAAACUCAAAGAAAUUGACGGGGACCCGCACAAGCGGUGGAGUAUGUGGCUUAAUUCGAUGCAACGCGAAGAACCUUACCUGGGCUUGACAUGCAUUGCUAAGCUGUUGAAAGGCAGCGAGUCUUCGGACACCUUGCACAGGUGCUGCAUGGCCGUCGUCAGCUCGUGUCGUGAGAUGUUGGGUUAAGUCCCGCAACGAGCGCAACCCCUGUGAACAGUUGCCAGCACUUCGGGUGGGGACUCUGUUCAGACUGCCCAGAUCAACUGGGAGGAAGGUGGGGAUG
rnacentral:rRNA from 1 species